rnacentral:lncRNA from 1 species
GAAGGAAGAAGAAAUUAAAAAAAAUAAGAGAUGCAGUCUUGUUUUUGAUCUAAUAAAGAAGACUUCAUUCACACUAGCUUAUCCUCUAGUGAUCGCCAUGACAGCAACUAUGGCCAUGAUGGCCAACGGUUGUCAAAGGAACAAAGAAACUAAAGCAAAAUAGGGGAGAUCGUCAUGUUGGGAUUCCGAUGAUAAUCCAGACAGCGAAAGCAACCUUAAGAUGGGGGAAGA